rnacentral:rRNA from 1 species
GACGAACGCUGGCGGCGUGCUUAACACAUGCAAGUCGAACGGAAAGGCCCUGCUUUUGUGGGGUGCUCGAGUGGCGAACGGGUGAGUAACACGUGAGUAACCUGCCCUUGACUUUGGGAUAACUUCAGGAAACUGGGGCUAAUACCGGAUAGGAGCUCCUGCUGCAUGGUGGGGGUUGGAAAGUUUCGGCGGUUGGGGAUGGACUCGCGGCUUAUCAGCUUGUUGGUGGGGUAGUGGCUUACCAAGUCUUUGACGGGUAGCCGGCCUGAGAGGGUGACCGGCCGCAGUGCGACUGCGGUACGGCCCAGUCUCCUACGGGAGGCAACAGUGGGAAAUAUUGCACAAUGAGCGGAAGCCUGAUGCGACAACGCCGCGUGCGGGAUGACGGCGUACGUGUUGUGAACCGCUGUCGCCUGUGACGAAGCGUGAGUGACGGUAAUGGGUAAAGAAGCACCGGCUAACUACGUG